rnacentral:rRNA from 1 species
UACGUAGGGAGCAAGCGUUGUUCGGAAUCACUGGGCGUAAAGGGCGCGUAGGCGGCCGAUCAAGUCGGGGGUGAAAGCCUGUGGCUCAACCACAGAAUGGCCUUCGAUACUGGUUGGCUCGAGACCGGAAGAGGUGAGUGGAACUGCGAGUGUAGAGGUGAAAUUCGUAGAUAUUCGCAAGAACACCAGUGGCGAAGGCGGCUCACUGGUCCGGUUCUGACGCUGAGGCGCGAAAGCGUGGGGAGCAAACAGG